rnacentral:rRNA from 1 species
AGAGCGAACGCUGGCGGCAGGCUUAACACAUGCAAGUCGGGCGGGCGUAGCAAUACGUCAGCGGCAGACGGGUGAGUAACGCGUGGGAACGUACCUUUUGGUUCGGAACAACCCAGGGAAACUUGGGCUAAUACCGGAUAAGCCCUUACGGGGAAAGAUUUAUCGCCGAAAGAUCGGCCCGCGUCUGAUUAGCUAGUUGGUGAGGUAAUGGCUCACCAAGGCGACGAUCAGUAGCUGGUCUGAGAGGAUGAUCAGCCACAUUGGGACUGAGACACGGCCCAAACUCCUACGGGAGGCAGCAGUGGGGAAUAUUGGACAAUGGGCGCAAGCCUGAUCCAGCCAUGCCGCGUGAGUGAUGAAGGCCCUAGGGUUGUAAAGCUCUUUUGUGCGGGAAGAUAAUGACGGUACCGCAAGAAUAAGCCCCGGCUAACUUCGUGCCAGCAGCCGC